UUCCGCGCCUCUCCCCACUCUCUCCAGGCAGCAGCCUCCUGGGGAUCUUAAUUCAUCCUCCACUUGCCCAUCUGCGCUCGUGCUGCUGCUGCCUCCUCCUCUCCCAUCCUUCAGGGUCCUCCUCCAGGGCUGAGGCGGCGGCUGCUGCUCCGCCAGGCACGCGGCCACACACCAGCCCCCAGCUGCCCCGGCUGGGUUUGUCUGCGCCUCCCUCUCUGCUCCUCUUCUACCUGUCAGCUGCAGCCGCCGGUGACACCUGCGGGAGACGCGCUUUCGCAGCCCUUGCGACUCGUGUGGCCCGGGCGCAGGGGGGUGAUGAGCGCAUGAAGGAGACCCUGGGGGGCUUUCCCCAGCUCGGGACUCGGCGGCUGCUGGAGCAGAGGAUGCUGAGCUCAGGAGAGCACCGGCUGCCGGUUCCCCGUAGUCACGGUACGGCAGUGGCUUGGCACUUUCCACCCUACGAGCUUCCUUCUCCCGUGCGCUCGGCUCUCCAGCUGGCCCAGGUGCCCCCGCUCCGGAGAAGCCGCCGAUUGGGCUGGAUGAGGCGCACGAGAGACACAAUUUACAGAUCGUAGUGCCUGGAAUACGAAAUGCGGAGCAGAGAGAGAGAGACACACACACCGAGAGAGAUGGGACUGGGCAGCGGAGGUGCUGGAAGCUUGCUCGGGUGCCAUUCAUCCUAUUUAUUCCUCCAUCUCCCUCCCUGGAAGUAGCAAGGCCAGUGCAAUUAACCAGACGCAGCAAGACGAAGAGGGAGAGCAGGGGCGUUAAUCCUGCUGGGAGGUGCGGGGGGGCAGAAGCGAGGAUUUCUGCCCAGUUUAAUUCAAUCAGAAUCUUAAUGCGAAACUGCGAGGUGUUUUGUUGGGGGGGGGAGAGGUUAUAUGUGAGGAGGAGGGGCAGAGAAAGGAGAGAAACAGAUCUUCCAAACGCCGGUGGCUGGUUGAGUUGCAGCAGCAGGUGCCAGGAGAUGCGGGGAGGAGUUGCUGUUUCCAAAGCUCGCUGGAAAAAAAAAGUGAACUGAACAUGGGGAAACCGGGGGAGGGGUCUUUCCCAUGCGUUACAAACACUGUAAAUGGCUGAAUGGCCCAGGUGCCUCCAUGAAAUGUAAUCUAAUAGAAAAGAAACAACAAAAAUCUCCUCUGAUCCUGGCGCUUUUCGUCUGCCCAUUACAAAGAAGCUGAAGAUAAUUUUUUAAAAAUGGUUUUUAAUCCCCCUUCGACACAUGCUCCGCUAACCCUGUUGUCUGCAUAACUUGCUAGGCAGAUCCUGCCGUCCUCUCUCCAAAGCUAAACUACCAAAGCCUGUGCAUGCAUGACAUUUCCCCAGCAGAUCUGUUUAUUGGUCGUACAUAGAGCCACCAUUAUAAAAUAAUCAUUACUUAACCUCUGGCCGUAAUGGUGUCUAUUUCUGCAUCUGUCAUGGACACUUUUUUAAAAAUCGAAGUAACCACAUUUGAAGACUGCAUUAAGCUUUUCUAGAGGGUAGCUUUUGAAAAAUACACUAACCUGACCUACUAAUACAUAGUGCAAUUUGA